rnacentral:misc_RNA from 1 species
GAUGAAGAACGCAGCGAAAUGCGAUAAGUAAUGUGAAUUGCAGAAUUCAGUGAAUCAUCGAAUCUUUGAACGCACAUUGCGCCCGCCAGAAUACUGGCGGGCAUGCCUGUUCGAGCGUCAUUUCAACCAUCAAGCCCCCGGCUUGUGUUGGGGACCUGCGGCUGCCGCAGGCCCUGAAAACCAGUGGCGGGCUCGCUAGUCACUCCGAGCGUAGUAAUACAUCUCGCUCAGGGCGUGCUGCGGGUUCCGGCCGUUAAAAAGCCUUAUUUACCCAAGGUUGACCUCGGAUCAGGUAGGAAGACCCGCUGAACUUAAGCAUAUCAAUAAGCGGAGGA